rnacentral:lncRNA from 1 species
GAAGCGACUAUUCAAUGCUGAAGAGGUAGAGAAUUUGGUUUAUCUACAUGGAGCAUUGUGUGAGGCAAUAAGGCUGUAUCCACCGGUUCCGUUCCAGCAUAAGGAACCUGUAAAACCUGACAUUCUUCCCAGUGGGCAUCCAGUUCAUCCAAAGACUAAAAUCUUGUUUAACUUGUAUUCAAUGGGAAGAAUGAAUUCAAUCUGGGGGAAGAUUGCUUAGAAUUCAAGCCUGAAAGAUGGAUUUCGAAGCGAGGGAUUAAACAUGAACCAUCAUACAAGUUCUUGUCCUUCAAUGCAGGGCCAAGGACCUGCAUAGGAAAGGAAGUGGCAUUUGUUCAGAUGAAAGCGGUGGCAUCUGCUAUAAUUUACAACUACUCUAUUCAUGUGUUGGAAGAAACCCCUGUUGUUCCUGCUGUAUCCAUUAUACUGCACACCAGGGAUGGGCUGAUGGCUAGGGUAUCCAAUAGAUGGGACUAAAAAUGCAUGCUUAAAAGUUGAAAGGGUAUUGUAAUCUGAAACCUGGGGCAUUUGCUAUGUAGUUGAUUUAAAUCUGGAAUAAGAACACGCAGCUCUUCUAGCUUUUUCCAUGUUCGUAAUAACAUUGAAUGUUGCUGCACUUCAAAAUUUGAUCUGUCUCUAUCAUAGAAUUCAUUCAAGAAAUUGAUCAAAUACAAAAAGAAGCCAGCUUUUUUACAAACUACAAACAAACAAAUAAACUUGUUUUUACAGAAAGUACAAACAAACGAUUACACUUGGUCUUAAGUGGGGACAACUUUUAUUUGAUUGGUAGUCUAAUUGAUUACCACAUGCUUAUCUCAUAUCACAAGAAAAUUUUUUUUUAGAGAAGAAAAUUUAAAAUACAAAUUAAGAAAAUGAGGAAAAGACAGAGAAAAGAAAAGAAAAGAAAAGUUGUAAUGAAAGCUAAGAAAAAGAAACUUUGGUAAAUAAAUAAUCAAAAUAAAGGUAUGUCAACAUUCAAUAAUGAUACAAAGUAACGAAAACAAACAAAGUUUGGUUCAUUGAGAUAAUAUACAACAUUAAGUAACGAUUAAAAUAAUAAGAAUAUUACUUAUUCUCUGUCUUAGGGGAUCCUUCCAAGUAAUGUACAAUAUGUUGGCUCAUCUCUGUAUAUUGUAUACAUAGAAGCUGCACAACAUAGUUUAAAGAAAGGAAAAAAAUCCAAUUAAAAAUUCACACUUAAAUAUUCACCAAAUGUCACAAAUCAUGAGAAAUAGUGUUGAGCAGACUCAUUUAAGGGUUUCUCAAAUUGCACGAUAACAGUUUCCUCAACCACAAACCAAGUGCCGCUAUUGUGUUUCUCUUCAUCAAAUGACUUAGAACAGCUCUGUAAAGAAACAUAUAACACAAGGGUGAACACAAGAUGGAAAGCUUUGUCACUCAAAAUAAGGAAAAAGAAAAGUGUACAUAAUCUGCCAGGUUCCACAGAAGCAGAAUGCUUGAACUCGUAAGUGGUUAAAGCUUACAACCCUAAGGAACAAUUAUCAAUUUAGAAAGCACAACAGCAAUUGUACUAAAAAUAACACACAGCAGCUCUUUUAAUCAUUCAGGUCAAUUCCAGUGAAAAAAGAUUCUCUGAGUUAAAACAUCAAUAGUAACAAUCAAACAAGCUGUUGUUUCUCAUUUUGAAGGGAGGGCCAUAGAGGGAGAAUAAAAGGUGGAUAGGGGUGUUAUCCAAGAGUUGACAACUCCCCUUGGAACAAGUAUAGACAGCAAGCAUCAGCCAGUUCCAAUUCUCCAGAGAACCUUUAUCACAAGCAUCAGCUUCUUCUUGCAGAAAAUAUAUUAAUGGCGGCAUAAGCUGCAUUUCAAAGUGCCUCGAAGCACCACAAAGCUCACAAUUCCCAGCAUCUCCCACCUCUGUUGCAGCCAGAAGAGGCUUCCCACCAAAUGCAUAUCUGAGAACAUAAAGGGCAGUAAGAAACUUUUAUUCACUCUCUAUUUGAGACAUUAAGAAGUUAAACAAACAAUAUUAAUAUCAUUUCUCCUUUUUUUUUUUUGCUCAUUUUCCUUGCAGUGGGAGAAUGAUACUGAGAGUAACAGUGCCUAACUCAAAUUACUAAUAGAAUCAACGUUAACCAAUAAAUCUUCCUGCAGUAAUCUGGGUGAUGACAAAGUGAAUGUUCCCUGUUCUUUUUUUUUUUUUUGGGUACAUUUAUUAUUCCACCGUUGAUGAACUUUUGGAGUUUAACUAAGGCCUAGCAAUGAUGAAAUCAUUAACAUAUAGUUUAACUAAGGCCUAGCAAUGAUGAAAUCAUUAACAUAUAAUAAGGAACAAUAUGCAUUAUCCCAUCCCUUAUCAACUUUGCAUUGAUCCCAGUGAUGGUACAGAAAUGGGAGGAAGUCUAUAUGCCAAUUUAAGCAAGGCUUGACAGCAUAUGCAUUCAACAAAUAACCCUAAAUGACCAGAAACAUUGCUCUGGAGAUGCAUCCAAUUGUUUCUUGAACUUGAGAUAAGUCCUGUCAGCAUUCAGAGCCUUAUCGUAUUCAUAAUUUUCUGCUUCCCAUGUUUCUUCUUGUCCAUGAUCUUCAACAUCACUUUCUUUCUCCUUGACAGAAAGUGAAGAGUAAUUUGAACACAUAGAAACAAAAUCCUUCGAUGAUGGUUCCACCUGACAAUAAAUGUAGAAGCAUGGCAUCACUGCAAUAAAGGAACAAAAUGAGUUGAGAAAAAGCAUUGUUAACACAACAAAAAUUUUUUGUUUAGUAUACAAAAAAUAUGAGGACAUAAUUUAGAUGGUAAUUUGAAGAGAUUUUGAAAUCAUAAUACAACUCUCCAGACCAGAAAGUAUAAGGAAAAAAAGAAAGUUCUUAUAUUACUGCUUUCCACAUCGAAGAGAAAGAUGGAGAAUACAGUGUUUGCAGCAAUGUGUGGAACAACUUGGUUGUUAUGCAACUUAUUAACACCAAUGGCACUUGGGCUAUAAAAAAAGAUUGCCUAGAUUCAAAGCCAUCACAUAUGAUUAUAUACAUAAAGUACUUCUGACAAGUAACACAUCACAGAAAAGGGCAACCUCACCUGGUGGAUCAGUAUCUAGCCCAAUCGUUUGUGCAGGUAAACGCAAAGACUGCUUCACAGAACUCUCAGAAUUCCGGUUGCUAUUUGUCUUCUUGGGUUGUGAACUCAAGCUUGCUGCUUCAGCAAAUGCUUUUCUCAAAUCCUCCAGAUCCACAUCUUCAUCAUCCUCAUCACCCAAAUCCUCCCACCAGCUAGUUUUUGAAACAGAAACAGAAGAUGCAGCUGCAAGAAUUUUGUCCGGAGUAGCAGCAGAGGAUGAUUCAUUUGUUUUGUUCUCCAUUUUCUGAACUCGAAGAGCACGCCAACUAUAUAGUCAUAUUUCAUUAAAAAAAAGUACACAUCUAAAUAGUCAUUUUUCUUGUACAAAAAAGAGAACAUAACAUUAUACAGUUAAAAUAUUACAUUUCAUUGAUAAAUAAUGGUCAAACAAACAAUUCAGAUAAAGAACCUGAGAGGAGUGCUACCACAACUUGGUGUCACACACCCUAAAACCAGAAGAAGACGCUCUUCUAUCUUUACAGUUUCACUUGAAACUGGAGCAUAAACCUGAAGAGAAAUUUAGCAAAACAACAUAAAUUAUUGCAUUUCCAUAUUGAAAUUUUGUUGCAACGUGAAGAAAAAGCAUUAGAGUCCAAAUAUAAGAGUACAAAGGAAAAACCUGAGCAACAAGACAGAGUUUACUUCCACGUUGAGAGCAGUGAAAAAGGGUGGGGUUUAAAGCCUCCAUAGGAAGAGGCCAAUCCUGUUAAAAAAACAGAGUGAAGGGUAAUUUUUACAGGUUGAUAAAACAGAAAAACAAAAAAAAGCCAACAAAAAGAGAAAUGGUAACGAUAUGUAGACGUAAAGAGAAAGAGAUUUACAGGAAGUCCACCAAUUUUUGUAGUAUAAUGAUCAGAGGGCUCACGGUUAUCCUCAGCCCCUGGCCCUGGCAAGCCAAGCAUUACUCCACUCAUGUCAGUAGCUCUGAUACAACAUAAACAAUGAAACAUGAUGAAAAAAAAAAAUAGUAAUUCAACUAUUUCCCAAGAAAACCAAAGAGAAAAGAUAUAAAUUCUGGGCAAACCCCUAACUCUAAGGAAAAAACCAACUUUCUUGUCAAAUGAAUGUUUGUUUCUAAGGUUUCGGUGUUUUCGAUUGGGAAAUUUGGAGGAGUGGUGGCUCACUUUUUGCUCAAUCGGCGGAUGCUUUGCUUGCUUUUCUCCAGUACUCUGUUUCAAGUCUCCAAAUUUGAGGGGUUUUUUGGGGAAAAUAUUUGGUCAAUAAACUAUUAUCUUAUUUUUAAAAUGUUCAUCUAUUUAAUCUUACUAAAGUACGAGUAAAUGAUUUUUUUUACUCAAUUAUUAAUUUUUAAUAAUACAUCGUGAUAUCAACAAAUGAUUAAUUUAAUUGAUUAAAGUUUAAAUUUUUUAAUAAAAAAUUUUAAAUUUAAAUUUUAUCGAUUAUCAUAUGUUAAAAAUAUACUAUCUAUAAUAAUUUAUUUAAUAAAUCACUUGACGUUGUUAAUAUAAUAUUAUAAAUUACAUUAAUGUAAUAAUAACACAUGAUACAUAAUCCCUAACGUAGCAUUAUAUGUUUUUACAUUGUUAGAUAUUAUAAGAGACUAAAAAUUAAUUAUUUAAAUUUUGAUGACAAAAUUAAAGAUUUUGUUAAUAAUUUAAUAAUCAUGUUAAGAACAUAUCAUAAUUAAAAGACCAGUUAUAUAAUAUAUUUUUUUAAGGUAGGGAAUUAAACAACAACGUUUAAUUCACAGCAUAUUCAGAAAAUAUUACGAAAUUUGCUUAGGCAGGAUUAUAUAAAUUUUAGUUAUGUAUUAACGCAUGUGACAUUGAUAUAAGGUUUUUUAAAAAAUUAAUAUAACAAAAAAAUAAAUAGUAAUACUUGACAAUUUUAUUAAACGCUUAAAAAAUCAACCGUCUAUGAAAAAUGGAUCCUUAAUGCCAAUCUAAAUAAACUAUUAAUUAAGAUACUUCUUCCAAAUAAUAAUAAAAAAUAUAUACUAUUAUAAAGAAAUAGCAUUUGUUUACAUCAACCCCAGGGAUUUUUUUUUUCCCCUUUUUAAGCUCAAGCAUUCAAGAUAGCCUGCCAGAAGCCUCGAAGAAGUCCACAUAUUUCAGUUUAAUUUUAAUAUUUGUAUGAGAUUGAGCCUGAAUCUGGACCAGCCUUUAGUUGCCACUUUUAUCCAUUGAAUGUCACCCUGCAUCACAUUUUCAGGCUGCAAGAAUUGCAAAUGGCUUGGAAGUAUAGUAAGAACUCAACUCUAUCAUAACUCAAUUUAGAACUGUAUUUCUGUCAAGAUUUUAUAUACAGAUAGUGCUGGUGGUCAUUCACAUCCUAGGCACUUUACACUGUAAAAUUGAUUAACCAAUGGAUCAUCUUUAACCAAUGUAUGUAUAUAUAGAUUGAAUAUUUCAUUUCCAUCUCUUGGAAUUCUUCAGCCCUUUCGACUUUUGUUUAGCAGCUUGAAACGCCUUCAUUUUCUGCUUCUUUCGAGCUUCCUUCUCAGCCUGUUAAACCAAGGGAUAUAGAAAGGUUGCGAUUAUGUAUGUAAACCAUGUGACCAUAACCUAUCCAGUUUAGAAAGCUAGGAAUCACAAGGGUAAUGCUUACUUUGGACAUCUUGGAUUUGGCUUUCACUUUAGGAGCUUUCUCUUCAAGAUCUGCCUCACGCUCAAGCUACUUUGCCCUUGCCUCAAGGUUCUUCUCCAGAUAAUACUGUUCAACAGAAAUUUGUGCCAACAGUUAAUCCGGAAAGAAAUGACGCAGUCAACAGCAUAUUUCAGUUAAAUACCCCAAUAAACUUAGCUGAUGGAGAAAAAUAGCAAACAAGCAUCUGAAAGUUUAGAUUCUGGAUGAACUCAUGGAAGAUAGAAAAAUUCAGUUCUUUACCAGAUUGAAAGUUGAACCAAGCCAACACUCCAGUUGAUUAAUUCAUAACAGACAAAGAAUGUGUAAAGGAAAAAGGCAGGAGAUAAGACUAUGCAAGCAGACAUUCAAGGCAGCAAAGGGAAAAUAAAAGAUGAAAAGGGUUCAACCAAGAAAGCCAUACUCACAUUGUAAUCGCCAGCAUAGUCCAGCAAAUGGCCAUCUUUUACUUCCACUACUCUGUUAACUAUUUGCCUAAUAAAAUAUCGGUCAUGAGAAACAGUAAUGACAGUGCCACUGUACUCUCUAAUUGCCUCCUGAUAGAAUAAUGAGAGAUUGCAGAAUUAUUGAGUGAUAAACUAAAUGCUACAAUAUUGAUAAAAAAAAGUCAACCGGAGAAAAUAGAGAAAAGGUUAGAAAAAAACAAACCUCUAGCAUCUCUUUUGAGGGUAUAUCCAGGUGAUUAGUCGGUUCAUCCAAAACUAGUAGGGUUGACGGUUUUACCAUGAAUUUACAAAAGGCAAGACGUGCCUAAAUGAAACAGGAAAAGGCAACAUUCAAAUUCAUGCCUUUAAAACAAAAGAGGAAAGAUAAUGCAUAGCAUCUAAUAUGAUUAAACAUGCCAGGUGCUGACAAACAACAUGCAAUUCCCAUUAAUUCACAAAAAAAGCAUGCUUGGGAAGGAUCAGACAUGCAGAUCAUGACACAUUAAAGAGAACCAGAUUAGGUUAGUCUUGUAUCAAAAUUCAUCAGCUUGUGAAUGUUAAAAUUUGUUGAGGACUAGCCGAGCUAAGGUGGAAAACGGACUAAUUCCUGUCCUUGAACAUGUUGCCACACCUGGCUUGGUGGUCAACUUGGAAGAUAUUUUCCAGAGGUUUACAUUUGAUUCUACAUGCAUCUUGGUUACUGGCUACGACCCCGAGUGCCUUUCUGUGGAAUUCCCUGAAGUUCUUUUUGCCAAGGCCUUGGAUGAUGCUGAGGAAGCCAUAUUUUAUCGACAUGUCAGGCCACCAAGCCCUACUAAGUUGCUAAGGUGGCUGAACAUUGGGCAAGAGAAGAAAUAUAGAAAGGCAUGGGAAGUUCUUGAUGACAUAAUUGUUAAAUAUAUAUACCAGAAAUGGAAAGAACUGAACAAAAUGAACGAAGGGUUAAUAUGUGAAGAAGGUGUAGAUCUCUUAACAUCAUAUAUAUUAACUGAUCAAGAGAAGUCAUCAGGUUUGAAAUGUGAUGAUAAGUUCUUGAGAGACACCAUUUUGGGUAUGAUGCUUGCAGGGAGGGACACAACGAGCUCUGCUCUCACUUGGUUCUUUUGGCUGCUUUCUAAGCAUCUGGAAGUGGAAAACAAGAUCAUAGAAGAGCUUAAAUCAGCCAUACCCGCAGAGGAAACACAAAAGAAGCGACUAUUCAAUGCUGAAGAGGUAGAGAAUUUGGUUUAUCUACAUGGAGCAUUGUGUGAGGCAAUAAGGCUGUAUCCACCGGUUCCGUUCCAGCACAAGAAACCUCUAAAACCUGACAUUCUUCCCAGUGGGCAUCCAGUUGAUCCAAAGACUAAAAUCUUGUUUAACUUGUAUUCAAUGGGAAGAAUGAAUUCAAUCUGGGGGGAAGAUUGCUUAGAAUUCAAGCCUGAAAGAUGGAUUUCGAAGCGAGGGAUUAAACAUGAACCAUCAUACAAGUUCUUGUCCUUCAAUGCAGGGCCAAGGACCUGCAUAGGAAAGGAAGUGGCAUUUGUUCAUAUGAAAGCGGUGGCAUCUGCUAUAAUUUACAACUAUUGUAUUCAUGUAUUGGAAGAAACCCCUGUUGUUCCUGCUUUAUCCAUUAUACUGCACACCAGGGAUGGACUGAUGGCUAGGCUCUCCAGUAGAUGGGACUAAAAAUGCAUGCUUGAAAGUUGAUAUGGGUAUUGUAAUCUGAAACCUGGGGCAUUUGCUAUGUAGUUGAUUUAAAUCUGGAAUAAGAACAUGCAGCUCUUCUAGCUUUUCCAUGUUAGUAAUAACAUUGAAUGUUGCUGCUCCUCAUUAAUUUUGAUCUGUUUCUAUCAUAAAAUUCAUUCAAGGAAAUUGAUCAAAUACAAAAAGAAGCCAGCUUUCUACAAAGUACAAACAAACAAUUAAACUUGGUUUAAGUGGGGACAACUUUUGUUUGAUUUGGUAGUCUAAUUGAUUAUCACAUGAUCAUUACAUAUCACAAGACAAUUUUUUAGAGAAAAAAUUUCAAAAACAAAGUAAGAUGGAAAAUGAGGAAAAAAUAGAGAAAGAAAAUCAAAUAAAAAUAGUAACGAAAACAAAGUAAAAAAAAGAAACAUUGGUAAGUGAAUAAUCCAAAAUAAAGAUAUGUCAACAUUCAAUAAUGAUACAAAAUAAUGAAAAUAAAACAAAGUUUGGUUCAUUAAGAUAAUAUAAAACAUUAAAUAAUGAUUAAAAUAAUAAGAAUAUUACUUAUUCUCUAUCUUAGGGGAGUCCUUGUAAACAAUAUACAGUAUGUUGAUUUUGUUGAUAGUUUAAAUAUAUUGUAUUUCAUAUUGAAUAAAAAUAUUUAAUUAUUGAUAAAUAAAAUUAAUUUUUAUAUUAAUUUUUUUAUAUUUUAAAUAAUUAUGUUUGAAUAAAAACAAUUAUCAUAAGACAAAUAGUUAUAACUAUCUGAAUAUAAAUAAAUUAUUAUUCAUAAAUGUCACAAUUAUAUAAAAUGUUAUAAUAAAAGUUUAUGUCUGUUUAUUUAUUAUAAAUAAAUUUUUUAAUAUAAUAAUUUUUGUUACUUUUAAUUUGAGAGUAUGAAGUUUUAUUAUAUCCAAAAAAUAUAAUUACCUUUAAAAAAAUAUUUUUCACUCCUUAAAGUUAAAAUUUUUUAUAUUAUUUUUUCUCUUAUUUAUUUUUUCUAAUAUGCUCUUCUUUGUAUAUUAUAUACAUAGAAGCUGUACAACAUAGAUUAAGGAAAGAAAAAAAUCAAUUAAAAAUUCGCACUUAAAUAUUCGGCAAAUGUCAUAAAUCAUUAGAAAUAGCGUGAGCAGACUCAUUUAAGGGUUUCUCAAUUGCACGAUAACAGUUUCCUCAACCACAACCAAGUGCCGCUGUUACGCUUCUCUUCAUCAAAUGACUUAGAACAGCUCCGUAAAGAAACAUAUAACAUAAUGGUGAACACAAGAUGGGAACCUUUGUCACUCACUAAGGAACAAUUAUCCCAGAAUUUUUAUGAGAUUUUUCAACAAUGACAUGGUGCUUUGAUACUACCAGAUAUAGAAAGAUGGUUUCUCUUCAGUUGUACUGCCCUAUUUCACAAACUACAGAUUGAAUUUGAUGCAGAGAGUGAUGACCAAAGAAGAAACAAUGUCAGCUUCUUCUUCUUCUAGAUUUGUUCAUUCUUAAAUUUGCAGAAAAAAGAAAGAAAAAAAAAGUUGAAUCAAUUGGUAUUGGCAUUUGCUCUAGGCUAUGUAAUUAGGGUAUGGUUUCGUAUUGUUCACGUUCAACAAAAUAAAGGUUAACGUGGUGUUACCACCUUGCUUCUAGGCAACAGUUUCUGAACAUUUCAGAAGGUUCAGUGGGGUGAUAUCUUUAAAUCUGUUUCCGUUUUUUAUUAAUAAAUUUAAAAUUAUAAUUACAUAAAAUAUAAAUUAAAAAUAUCAUAUUAAAAUAAAAUUUUAAUUAUAAAUCACAAGUUUCAUGAAAAUAAAUUCAAAUAUGAAAAAAAUAUAAACUAUAUCAAUACCAAAACAUAGCAUUAAUUGAAGAAAUAUAUGGCAUUCUAACACCAUUCCAACUCAAUUCAAGAUUUGAUGAAAAAAAUAAAUUAUGAAAUAAAAAUAUAGUUAAUAAAAUUAUAUUAGUAAUAUAGUUUUUAUUGAAAUUCCUUUUAUAUAUAUAUAUAUAUAUAUAUAUAUAUAUAUCAAUGGAUAGUUUCUAUAAUUUUACUCUCGUAAUGAAGUGCAAAUAAUAUCUUCUAAUUUAUUUAUUAAGAUGCGAGUUACUUAUUUUAUUUUUAUAAAAAAAAUAGAUAGAUGUUAAUUAAUGGUAUUGCCAACCACUCCAAAUUUGAUAUUUGAUGGGAGGAUUUCCCUAACAAAGAGAAAACCUAAGAAAAUGAAAUUUCCUUUAUUUAUAUAUUGACUAUACGUAUGAAAUUAAACCAAACAUAAUCUUUUAAUAUCAAUUCAAACCAAUUUGGACAAUAUUUGUUUGUUUCCAUAGUUUAAUUAUACCAUUACGUAAUAACAAUAAUAAGGUUCGGAGUUUCAUCAAGGAUUGUAUUUUAGAAUAGACUAACCAACAAGAAGUUGGGGAGUUGAUCCCAUCAAUAUAUCAUUACAAUAGGAAUUUCAUUUUGGCCACACACGCCUUAUUCUAUCAAUUCUAUAAUUGGAUUUUUUUUUUUUUGUGAAUUUUUGUUCUUACGAGUUAAAUUUUAAAUACAUAUUUAGUCCAAAAUUAAUUAACUAUGGAGUGAUAUAUUAUUUGUGUUUAAGAUGUCUUUAGCUUAACUAAUUAUAUGAUAAUUUUUACCAUUAAUUUAAUACUCUUCUGGCCCACAUAUGUAUGGACAAUAAAUUUAUUAUCAUAUUUAUAUUUCAAGAAAUUAUUUGAUAUAUUAAUAGUUAAAUUUUAUAACUUCAUAUAUAGAGUUAAGACGAUGACACAUAUUUUAUUUUUUUAAUUAUUUUUUAAUUUUUUUAUAUAUACAGUAAAAGAUAUGUAUAAUAAAAUGCGUUUGUAAAAUUAAAAAAUUUUAUUGUCAUUGAAUUUGAUAAUUUUUCAUAUAUUUUUAUAUUUUGCAUCAUAUUUUUUGACACUAUCAUGUGGUAUGAAAUAAAAGUCAUUUCACUUCACUGAAAUUUGAAAUAUCUCUAUAUCUAACGUAAUUCUGUUACAUGUCAAUUUCAUAAAUAAGCUAUUCUCUUAUUUUAAAAAAAAAAAUCUUUCUAUUUUUUUGAUUGUAUGACUCUAUAAAUUAGUUUGAUUUUUCAACUUACAAAUUAAAACUUUACAAUUAUCUAAAAGUAUAUUCAAAUUAAUAAAUAUUUAAUUUUAGCAAUUAUCGGUUUCUUUACCCUAUUAUCACAAUUACUUUAUUCAUGAAUAGAAAGUGAAAAGUUUAAUUCAUUAAAUCCAAAAAAAGAUGAAACCUUUUCCUCUUUCUUAUCUAUCUAUUUUCUUGUAAAUCUAUUUAAUUUUGUUAAUUUUUCAAAAGCCUUUAUAAGCAAACCUUAAAAAAAAAUUUAUCCAUUUUUUAUUCUUCAAAUUUAUCCAGAUUUUGUUUCUCUAAAAAAAUUCAUCGAAUUGUAAGUUUUUUUUUUUUUUACCAUUUUAUUUAAACUCUUAUGAUUUAUUAAUGAAUAUACUCACUAAUUUAUAUUGCCCUUUUGUAAAAUCUAUUAUUUAAAAAACCUAACUUACAAAUUUUGAAAAAAAUCUAAUAGUGAAUUUGCUGAUUUGUACUGUAAAAUUCUCCUCUCAUUUCAAUUUUUUUUUUUUUUUUGUUUUUGUUGUACAUGAUAGAUCUCACUUUCGUUUUUAAAAAACUUAAUAUUUUACUGGUUAAUAAAAUAGGUAUGUAUAAAUAUUUUUUAGUGAUUUUAAGUAUUUUUAAUUAUUGUUAUUAUUGAACCGUAGCAGCUCGCAAAACAUUACCUAAUAUAUAUUAUUUUUAAAUAUAAGUUUAUUUAAUAAUCAAAUAAUUUAUUAUUUUUUAAAUAUAUAUAUUAAUAGAUAGAUUUUAACUCUUCAAUUUUACUUGUGAAAUUUAAAACUCUAUUGUCAUACAAGAUAAUAAUAAUUUUCUUUUUGUUAUUGGUAUUUAAUUUUUGUAAAGACGUUGUUAAUAUUUAAAGAUUUUGUAUAAAAAUUUUAUAUUCAUAUAUAUUUAUAUUUUCAAAUAAUCUCUUGGUCCCUUUUUAUAAGUUUCCUUUUUCAUUUUCGUGGAUUAAAAAAUAAAAAUAAAAAAUUAUUAAAAAAUAAAGAAUAUCGGUGUUCCAAAAAAAUAUAAUUUUAAGAGAUUAAAAAAAUAAAUAAUAUAACAAAAAAUGUGUAAUUACUUUUUGAUUUCAUUGAGUAAUAUUUUUUUAUUACGCCAUUAGGUAUGAAUUUUAUGUGUAAAGAUAAUGCACUUGUCUAAUUAUUUCAGGAAACUCAAUACCUCAUUACAUUUUGCAAGUUUUGUAGUUCCUCAAAUUAAUAGAAAACAUCUUUAAAUUAAACUCUUUAGAACUCAUUUGAAGAGGAAAAAAAAAAAGAAAAUGAGAUAUAUGUUACUAUUUUAAUUUUAUUUGUGAAGUUAAAAAAUUUUAAUAUUAAAUAAUUUUUAAAAAAACCCUUAAAGUAUUAUACUGUUAUUUUAUUUUUCUUAAAUAAAUUUUUAUAUUUUUAUUUUACUCAAAUAAAUUUUUAUCUUUUGAUUUCUAUCCAUAUAAACUCUUCUUUCAUACAAAAAAUUAAAUUAGGUAAAGACCUUAUUUCAAUAUAAAUUACAGAUUAAAAAUUUAUCUGAAUUAUUUAAAUAAAAUAAUAAAAUAUAUUAAUUUUUAUGUUAUUGUAACCAAAAUAAAACAAAGGGAAAUAUAACUUUAUUGCAAACCCUACCAACCUCAAAUGAAAAAAAAUUUUUAAUCUUUUCUUGUAGAAACCUUCACCCAAUCAAAUACGUAGGAUCAGAACCUUAAUGAGUGUGUAUUAAUUUAAAUUAAUUGAUUUUAAGUUAAUAUCAAAUUUUGUCUUUAAACAAAAAAAAAAAAAGAAUUUUUAUGAUUAUACGAAAAGUUACAUUAAGAUAAAUAAAUUUUAUGAUUAUUUUUUAUAGUUAAAUUUUUUAAUUUUUUACUCAAUAAUAUUCUUUUUUAUUUGUAAUUCUGACAUAAUAUUAUUUAGAUUAUAAUAUUUUUUUUCAUAUUUAUUUAUCUUUUAAUUUGAUUGUCAGCAGAAUUCUUCUUUUACUGUUGAAAAAGGAAAAGAGUCAUCUUUAGAAAACUUAUCAUUGGUAACUUUUCAAAUAUAAAAUCAUAGGUUUAUCAAGCAAAACGUCUUCUUUUUAGUUUUUUUUUUUUUUUAAUAUUUGCAUAUUUUUAAUAUAAUUCUAACUCUUGUUCAAUUACGUGAUAAUUUUAAAUAAGUUAUGAUAAUAUGAUGUUAAAAUAAUAUAAAUAAAAUAUAUAAAAAUAAUAUAAUUUAAAAUUUUAAUAAAAUUUAUAAAAUAAAUUUAAUAAAAUUAAAAUAUAUAUUUUAUAUAUUUUUUGAUAUUAAUUAUAAUACAUAAUUUUUAUAUAAAAUAUAAAAUAAUUAUAUAAAUUAUUAAUAUUUUAUACUAUAUAAAUACGCAAAUUGUCGGGCCUAACUGUCGCCCGCUUAGCCUCACGUUAAUGAUGUGAAAGGGCAGAAAAAAUCACUUGGGUCUAUCUUCAAUUCUGUGCAAGGAGUAAAUUGUGGCUCCACCUCUCAAUCACAUCAUAUUUGUUGGACUCUUCUACUUUCCUUUAUAUCCAAUAAAUUUUUCUUAGAUUUUGAGACUCAUUGGAUAUAUUGUUUGCAAGCUGGUACUUGUCAAGUAUCAUACCCAAGGCUUUUCUGGCUUUUCUGGUUUUCAAUUUCAUGGCAUUAAUCAGUAUUUUUGAACUUGUUUUGGCCUUCAUUUGCUUUCUGUUUCUCUGCUGCUUGAGAAAUAAGAACGAUGGGACUCCAAAGAGUUUCCCGCUUGUUGGGAUGAUGCCUGAUCUUCUCCUCAACAUUCAUCGGAUUCACAACUGGUGCACUGAGGUUCUCGAAAGAAACCAUUGCACUUUUCUUUUCAAAGGCCCUUGGUUUGCUAAGAUGAACAUGUUGGUGACCUGCGACCCUGCCAACAUUCACUACAUAAUGAGUUCCAACUUUCAGAACUUCCCCAAGGGAUCUGAGUACAAGGAGAUGUUUGACAUCCUGGGAGAUGGGAUUUUCAAUGCUGACAUGGAUUUGUGGAAAGAGCAGAGGAAAUCUGCUCAAGGAUUCAUGAGACAUCAGCUGUUCCACCAAUUUUUGUUGAGGACUAGCCGAGCUAAGGUGGAAAACGGACUAAUUCCUGUCCUUGAACAUGUUGCCACACGAGGCUUGGUGGUCAACUUGGAAGAUGUUUUCCAGAGGUUUACAUUUGAUUCUACAUGCAUCUUGGUUACUGGCUACGACCCCGAGUGCCUUUCUGUGGAAUUCCCUGAAGUUCUUUUUGCCAAGGCCUUGGAUGAUGCUGAGGAAGCCAUAUUUUAUCGACAUGUCAGGCCACCAACCCUUACUAAGUUGCUAAAGUGGCUGAACAUUGGGCAAGAGAAGAAAUAUAGAAAGGCAUGGGAAGUUCUUGAUGACAUAAUUGCUAAAUAUAUAUACCAGAAAAGGAAAGAACUGAACAAAAUGAACGAAGGGUUCAUAUGUAGAGAAGGUGUAGACCUCUUAACAUCAUAUAUAUUAACUGAUCAAGAGAAGUCAUCAGGUUUGAAAUGUGAUGAUAAGUUCUUGAGAGACACCAUUUUGAGUAUGAUGCUUGCAGGGAGGGACACAACGAGCUCUGCUCUCACUUGGUUCUUUUGGCUGCUUUCUAGGCAUCCGGAAGUGGAAAACAAGAUCAUGGAAGAGCUUAAAUCAGCCAUACCCGCAGAGGAAACCCAAGAGAAGCGACUAUUCAAUGCUGAAGAGGUAGAGAAUUUGGUUUAUCUACAUGGAGCAUUGUGUGAGGCAAUAAGGCUGUAUCCACCGGUUCCGUUCCAGCAUAAGGAACCUCUAAAACCUGACAUUCUUCCCAGUGGGCAUCCAGUUGAUCCAAAGACUAAAAUCUUGUUUAACUUGUAUUCAAUGGGAAGAAUGAAUUCAAUCUGGGGGGAAGAUUGCUUAGAAUUCAAGCCUGAGAGAUGGAUUUCGAAGCGAGGGAUUAAACAUGAACCAUCAUACAAGUUCUUGUCCUUCAAUGCAGGGCCAAGGACCUGCAUAGGAAAGGAAGUGGCAUUUGUUCAGAUGAAAGCGGUGGCAUCUGCUAUAAUUUACAACUAUUCUAUUCAUGCGUUGGAAGAAACCCCUGUUGUUCCUGCUUUAUCCAUUAUACUGCACACCAGGGAUGGACUGAUGGCUAGGCUCUCCAGUAGAUGGGACUAAAAAUGCACGCUUAAAAGUUGAAUGGGUAUUGUAAUCUGAAACCUGGGGCAUUUGCUAUUUAGUUGAUUUAAAUCUGGAAUAAGAACACGCAGCUCUUCUAGCCUUUUCCAUGUUCGUAAUAACAUUGAAUGUUGCUGCACUUGAAAAUUUGAUCUGUCUCUAUCAUAGAAUUCAUUCAAGAAAUUGAUCAAAUACAAAAAGAAGCCAGCCUUUUUACAAACUACAAACAAACAAACAAAUAAACUUGGUUUUACACAAAGUAUAAACAAACGAUUACACUUGGUCUUAAGUGGGGACAACUUUUAUUUGAUUGGUAGUCUAAUUGAUUACCACAUGCUUAUCUCAUAUCACAAGACAAUUUUUUUUAGAGAAGAAAAUUUCAAAUACAAAUUAAGAAAAUGAGGAAAAGACAGAGAAAAGAAAAUAAAAUAAAAGUUGUAAUGAAAGCUAAGAAAAAAAAACUUUGGUAAAUAAAUAAUCAAAAUAAAGGUAUGUCAACAUUCGAUAAUGAUACAAAGUAAUGAAAACAAACAAAGUUUGGUUCAUUGAGAUAAUAUAGAACAUUAAGUAACGAUUAAAAUAAUAAGAAUAUUACUUAUUCUCUGUCUUAGGGGAUCCUUCCAAGUAAUGUACAAUAUGUUGGCUCAUCUCUGUAUAUUGUAUACAUAGAAGCUGCACAACAUAGUUUAAAGAAAGGAAAAAAAUCCAAUUAAAAAUUCACACUCAAAUAUUCGCCAAAUGUCACAAAUCAUGAGAAAUAGCGUUGAGCAGACUCAUUUAAGGGUUUCUCAAAUUGCAUGAUAACAGUUUCCUCGACCACAAACCAAGUGCCACUAUCGUGUUUCUCUUCAUCAAAUGACUUAGAACAGCUCUGUAAAGAAACAUGUAACACAAGGGUGAACACAAGAUGGAAAGCUUUGUCACUCAAAAUAAGGAAAAAGAAAAGUGUACAUAAUCUGCCAGGUUCCACAUAAGCAGAAUGCUUGAACUCGUAAGUGGUUAAAGCUUACAACCCUAAGGAACAAUUAUCAAUUUAGAAAGCACAGCAGCAAUUGUACUAAAAAUAACACACAGCAGCUCUUUUAAUCAUUCAGGUCAAUUCCAGUGAAAAAGAUUAUCUGAGUUAAAACAUCAAUAGUAACAAUCAAACAAGCUGUUGUUUCUCAUUUUGAAGGGAGGGCCAUAGAGGGAGAACAAAAGGUGGAUGGGGUGUUAUCCAAGAGUUGACAACUCACCUUGGAACAAGUAUAGACAGCAAGCGUCAGCCAGUUCCAAUUCUCCAGAGAACCUUUAUGACAAGCAUCAGCUUCUUCUUGCAGAAAAUAUAUUAAUGGCGGCAUAAGCUGCAUUUCAAAGUGCCUCGAAGUACCACAAAGCUCACAAUUCCCAGCAUCUCCCACCUCUGUUGCAGCCAGAAGAGGCUUCCCACCAAAUGCAUAUCUGAGAACAUAAAGGGCAGUGAGAAACUUUUAUUCACUCUCUAUUUGAGACAUUAAGAAGUUAAACAAACAAUAUUAAUAUAAUUUCUCCUCCUUUUUUUUUGCUCAUUUUCCUUGCAGUGGGAGAAUGAUACUGAGAGUAACAGUGCCUAACUCAAAUUACUAAUAGAAUCAACGUUAACCAAUAAAUCUUCCUGCAGUAAUCUGGGUGAUGACAAAGUGAAUUUUCCCUGUUCUUUUUUUUUUUUUUGGGUACAUUUAUUAUUCCACCGUUGAUGAACUUUUGGAGUUUAACUAAGGCCUAGCAAUGAUGAAAUCAUGAACAUAUAAUAAGGAACAAUAUGCAUUAUCCCAUCCCUUAUCAACUUUGCAUUGAUCCCAGUGAUGGUACAGAAAUGGGAGGAAGUCUAUAUGCCAAUUUAAGCAAGGCUUGUCAGCAUAUGCAUUCAACAAAUAACCCUAAAUGACCUGAAACAUUGCUCCGGAGAUGCAUCCAAUUGUUUCUUGAACUUGAGGUAAGUCCUGUCAGCAUUCAGAGCCUUGUCGUAUUCAUAAUUUUCUGCUUCCCAUGUUUCUUCUUGUCCAUGAUCUUCAACAUCACUUUCUUUCUCCUUGACAGAAAGUGAAGAGUAAUUUGAACACAUAGAAGCAAAAUCCUUCAAUGAUGGUUCCGCCUGACAGUAAAUGUAGAAGCACGGCAUCACUGCAAUAAAGGAACAAAAUGAGUUGAGAAAAAGCAUUAUUAACACAACAAAAUUUUUUUGUUUAGUAUACAAAAAAUAUGAGGACAUAAUUUAGAUGGUAAUUUGAAGAGAUUUUGAAAUCAUAAUACAACUCUCCAGACCAGAAAGUAUAAGGAAAAAAAAAAGUUCUUGUAUUACUGCUUUCCACAUCGAAGAGAAAGAUGGAGAAUACAGUGUUUGCAGCAAUGUGUGGAACAACUUGGUUGUUAUGCAACUUAUUAAAACCAAUGGCACUUGGGCUAUAAAAAAAGAUUGCAUAGAUUCAAAGCCAUCACAUAUGAUUAUAUACAUAAAGUACUUCUGACAAAUAACACAUCACAGAAAAGGGCAACCUCACCUGGUGCAUCAGUAUCUAGCCCAAUCGUUUGUGCAGGUAAAGGCAAAGACUGCUUCACAGAACUCUCAGAAUUCCGGUUGCUAUUCGUCUUCUUGGGUCGUGAACUCAACUUUGCUGCUUCAGCAAAUGCUUUACUCAAAUCCUCCAGAUCCACAUCUUCAUCAUCCUCAUCACCCAAAUCCUCCCACCAGCUAGUUUUUGAAACAGAAACAGAAGAUGCAGCUGCAAGAAUUUUGUCCGGAGUAGCAGCAGAGGAUGAUUCAUUUGUAUUGUUCUCCAUUUUCUGAACUCGAAGAGCACGCCAACUAUAUAGUCAUAUUUCAUUAAAAAAAGUACACAUCUAAAUAGUCAUUUUUCUUGUACAAAAAAGAGAACAUAACAUUAUACAGUUAAAAUAUUACAUUUCAUUGAUAAAUAAUGGUCAAACAAACAAUUCAGAUAAAGAACCUGGGAGGAGUGCUACCACAACUUGGUGUCACACACCCUAAAACCAGAAGAAGACGCUCUUCUAUCUUUACAGUUUCACUUGAAACUGGAGCAUAAACCUGAAGAGAAAUUUAGCAAAACAACAUAAAUUAUUGUAUUUCCAUAUUGAAAUUUUGUGCAACAUGAAGAAAAAGCAUUAGAGUCCAAAUAUAAGAGUACAAAAGAAAAACCUGAGCAACAAGACAGAGUUUACUUCCACAUUGAGAGCAGUGAAAAAGGGUGGGGUUUAAAGCCUCCAUAGGAAGAGGCCAAUCCUGUUAAAAAAACAAAGUGAAGGGUAAUUUUUACAGGUUGAUAAAACAGAAAAACAAAAAAAAGCCAACAAAAAGAGAAAUGGUAACGAUAUGUAGACGUAAAGAGAAAGAGAUUUACAGGAAGUCCACCAAUUUUUGUAGUAUAAUGAUCAGAGGGCUCACGGUUAUCCUCAGCCCAUGGCCCUGGCAAGCCAAGCAUUACUCCACUCAUGUCAGUAGCCCUGAUACAACAUAAACAAUUAAACAUGAUGAAAAAAAAUUAGUAAUUCAACUACUUCCCAAGAAAACCCAAAAAAUAUAAAUUCUGGGCAAACCCCUAACUCUAAGGAAAAAACCAACUUUCUUGUCAAAUGAAUGUUUGUUUCUAAGGUUUCGGUGUUUUCGAUUGGGAAAUCUGGAGGAGUGGUGGCUCGCUUUUUGCUCAAUCGGCGGAUGCUUUGCUUGCUUCUCUCCAGUACUCUGUUUCAAGUCUCCAAUUUGAGGGGUUUUUUUGGGUAAAAUAUUUGGUCAAAUAAACUAUUAUCUUAUUUUUAAAAUGUUCAUCUAUUUAAUCUUACUAAAGUACGAGUAAAUGAUUUUUUUUUACUCAAUUAUUAAUUUUUAAUAAUACAUUGCGGGAUCAAUAAAAAAUUUUUAAUUUGAAUCUUAUCGAUAAUUACAUGUUAAGAAUGUACAAUUUAUAAUCAUUUAUCUAAUAAAUCAUUUGACGUUAUUAAUAUAAUAUUAUAAAUUACAUUAAUGUAAUAAUAACACAUGAUACAUAAUCCCUAACGUAGCAUUAUAUGUUUUUACAUUGUUAGAUAUUAUAAGAGACUAAAAAUUAAUUACUCAAAUUUUGAUAACAAAAUUAAAUAUUUUGUUAAUAAUUUAAUAAUCAUGUUAAGAACAUAUCAUAAUUAAAAGAUCAGUUAUAUAAUAUUUUUUUUAAGGUAGGGAAUUAAACAACAACGUUUAAUUCACAGCAUAUUCGGAAAAUAUUAAGAAAUUUGCUUAGGCUGGAUUAUAUAAAAUUUAGUUAUGUAUUAACGCAUGUGACAUUAAUAUAAGGUUUUUUAAAAAAUUAAUAUAACAAAAAAAUAAAUACUAAUAUUUGACAAUUUUAUUAAACGCUUAAAAACUCAACCGUCUAUGAAAAAUGGAUCCUCAAUGCCAAUCUAAAUAAACUAUUAAUUAAGAUACUUCUUCCAAAUAAUAAUAAAAAAUAUAUAGUAUUAUAAAGAAAUAGCAUUUGUUUACAUCAACCCCAGAGAUUUUUUUUUUCCCCCUUUUUAAGCUCAAGCAUUCAAGAUAGCCUGCCAGAAGCCUCGAAGAAGUCUAAAUAUUUCAGUUUAAUUUUAAUAUUUGUACGAGAUUGAGCCUGAAUCUGGACCAGCCUUUAGUUGCCACCUUUAUCCAUUGAAUGUCACCCUGCAUCACAUUUUCAGGCUGCAAGAAUUGCAAAUGGCUUGGAAGUAUAGUAAGAACUCAACUCUAUCAUAACUCAAUUUAGAACUGUAUUUCUGUCAAGAUUUUAUAUACAGAUAGUGCUGGUGGUCAUUCACAUCCUAGGCACUUUACACUGUAAAAUUGAUUAACCAAUGGAUCAUCUUUAACCAAUGUAUGUAUAUAUAGAUUAAAUAUUUCAUUUCCAUCUCUUGGAAUUCUUCAGCCCUUUCGACUUUUGUUUAGCAGCUUGAAACGCCUUCAUUUUCUGCUUCUUUCGAGCUUCCUUCUCAGCCUGUUAAACCAGGGGAUAUAGAAAGGUUGCGAUUAUGUAAACCAUGUGACCGUAACCUAUCCAGUUUAGAAAGCUAGGAAUCACAAGGGUAAUGCUUACCUUGGACAUCUUGGAUUUGGCUUUCACUUUAGGAGCUUUCUCUUCAAGAUCUGCCUCACGCUCAAGCUCCUUUGCCCUUGCCUCAAGGUUCUUCUCCAGAUAAUACUGUUCAACAGAAAUUUGUGCCAACAGUUAAUCCGGAAAGAAAUGACUCAGUCAACAGCAUGUUUCAGUUAAAUACCCCAAUAAACUUAGCUGAUGGAGAAAAAUAGCAAACAAGCAUCUGAAAGUUUAGAUUCUGGAUGAACUCAUGGAAGAUAGAAAAAAUUCAGUUCUUUACCAGAUUGAAAGUUGAACCAAGCCAACACUCCAGUUGAUUAAUUCAUAACAGACAAAGAAUGUGUAAAGAAAAAGGCAGGAGAUAAGACUAUGCAAGCAGACAUUCAAGGCAGCAAAGGGAAAAUAAAGGAUGAAAAGGGUUCAACCAAGAAAGCCAUACUCACAUUGUAAUCGCCAGCAUAGUCCUGCAAAUGGCCAUCUUUUACUUCCACUACUCUGUUAACUAUUUGCCUAAUAAAAUAUCGGUCAUGAGAAACAGUAAUGACAGUGCCACUGUACUCUCUAAUUGCCUCCUGAUAGAAUAAUGAGAGAUUGCAGAAUUAUUGAGUGAUAAAACUAAAUGCUACAAUAUUGAUAAAAAAAAGUCAACUGGAGAAAAUAGAGAAAAGGUUAGAAAAAAACAAACCUCUAGCAUCUCUUUUGAGGGUAUAUCCAGGUGAUUAGUUGGUUCAUCCAAAACUAAUAGGGUUGACGGUUUUACCAUGAAUUUACAAAAGGCAAGACGUGCCUAAAUGAAACAGGAAAAGGCAACAUUUAAAUUCAUGCCUUUAAAACAAAAGAGGAAAAAUAAAGCAUAGUAUCUAAUAUGAUUAAGCAUGCCAGGUGCUGACAAACAACACGCAAUUCCCAUUAAUUCACAAAAAAGUAUGCUUGGGAAGGAUCAGACAUGCAGAUCAUGACACAUUAAAGAAAACCAGAUUAGGUUAGUCUUGUAUCAAAAUUCAUCAGCUUGUGAAUGUUAAAAAUUUGAAUUCAAUUUAGCAUCGGACAAUUUACAAAUUUAACAAAAGUACCCUAAAUUUUGCCAAAUUGUCCAACAGGUAGUGAAUUAACACCAAUACAAUUAUCAGCCCAUAAGAAUAGAUGCCCCAGAAAUAUUGGAGUAUAAAAUAAACGAGAUUGAAAACAGAAUUUUCUAAUGAAAUCCAUAAUAGCAAAAAAUGUAUCCAACAUAUAAAAUUAUAUAUAGAGUGUAAUUACCUUCUCCCCACCACUCAAAAGGGAAACCUUUCUGUCCAGCAUAUCAGCUUUGAAGUUGCAACGUCCAAGGAGACCCUUAAUAUCAUCAAUUCUCCAGUUCUCAGCAACUUCUGUCACUGUCUGGAGCACUGUUUUAUCCAAAUCAAGAGCCUCAGCCUGAAUGAAUUGUUGGUUAAAUUAGUCAGUGCUUUGCACUUUGUUAGCUCAAAAGGAGAGCUUAGCAACUAAGCAGCAAGAUCAGAAGCAUCUCAGAUACAAAUAACAUAUUAUUCACAAAGACCAAAUACCUGAUUCUGCUCAAAAUAAUUUGGUACAACAUUAUGCUCCCCAAGCAGCACUUCACCUCCUCUUGACUUCUCCAAAUCCAUUAUCAGUUUCAGUAAAGUACUCUUUCCACAACCAUUUGGACCAAUAAUGGCAAUUUUCUCUCCGCUUUCAAUUGUAAGAUUUGCCCUGUCAAAUAACAGCUGAUACACAAACCACAGUUUUGUCAUAAAUGAGAAGCUUAAAAGUCCAAAUUGUCUUCCUCAUACUACCAAACAUCUUAACUCACCUCAUCAUCAUAACCAAAUUCCAGAUUCUUCAUAGUAAGAACAGAUCUGCCACUUCUUCCACGCUCCGGGAACCUAAUCUUCAUUUGUUUCCAUUGAAAUGGCUUCUCUAUUUGACCCUCUUCUUGAAGUCUCUCCAGCUUCUGUUAUCACUCAGAAAGGAGAAGGAGAUUUUAAGUAAACAGAAAAUAUUUAGAGUUUGAAAAAUUAAUCUCAGUACAAGCACAAAGUCUAAGAACCUGUAACCAUUUGAGUAGCAAACACUAUCAAAAUCAAAAGACAAAAAAUUUACGCAGCACCGACCUUAUUCUCCAAAUAAAGUUUCAAUGGAAUAUUGAACUAAUUUUAGGAAGAUAGAACAUUCAUGAAGAUAACUUAGGAGAAAUGGUCUUUACAAAUAAAAUUAAAAUGGAAGAGGUAGAAGAAAGACGAGAAAAAUAACCAAGUUGUGUUUAAAAAAUUAACUCUCUGACCACCAUAUCAAGAAAAAUACACAGGUUUCAUCCUCACAAAUUUCACACCAUUCAUGUGAUCCUCCAAAUAGUGGAUCAUUUGUGACCAAAAUAGAAAAAUAAUUGAUAUGAUAAAAGUGAUUACAAUACUUGAUGACAAAAGAAGAAAUUCUUGUGGGAUAAGAUAGCAAAACUGUAAGCAAAUGAUAUAAAACUACAACUAAAUUUCAACACCCAUUUCCUAAUGAAUCAUAAUUAACAUAGAAUUCAGAUGAAUCCACUUGAAAUAAGGAGAACAGAAACUAUCCCCAACUUACAACCUGUCAAUAUAGGUGACAUUUUACUUUCUGGUUCCAGUUCCACAAACCAAAUCUACAUUCAAUGUCACUUACAAAUUUAUGUAAUUAAUUCUAUAAAAUAAAAUCAUCCAUGAUUUACUAAAAUCUGAUGAAAAUCUAGGCAUUCAUUUGAAAGAAUACUGUCAGUCAAGGAGGUUGACAAUCUGGUAGUAAUUUCUUUUCAUCAUCAAUAGAUGAUAUUUAGUGGAUAAUGUACGUAGGUCUAAAACUAAACACUGCUAUUAUUGAAUGCUAACCAAGAUGAAAUGGAUAUAUUUCAGAACUGAAUGCCCCCUCAUACAUACAUACCUUUUCAGCAGAAGAAGCACGGCCGGAAUUUGCCCCUGCACCUAAUCUGUUUAUCAAAUCUUUUGUCUGCUCAAUUUCCUUCUGCUGCUUCUCCCAUGCAGCAUACUGAGUUUCAACCCAUGCUGCCUUUGCCUCAACAUACUGUGAAUAAUUACCCUCAAACGUUCUGCAAACACCCAUAUCUGUCUCCACAAUCUUUGUACACAACUGAUCUAGAAAAGCUCUAUCAUGAGAUAUAAUGACCAUCGGCACGUCUUGCUUGUUGAGAUAUCCUUCAAGCCACUCAAUUGUAUCAAGGUCAAGGUGAUUUGUAGGCUCAUCCAAAAGCAAUAAAUCAGGCUCCUGCAAAUUUACAUGUACUUCAACAAACAGCUAGCAACGCCAAUAUACUCUGCUACACAUCAUACACAUGAACCAUGAAUUAACAACUUCAACGUCAUCAAAAAAUAUUUAACAAGCUAAAUAUUUUGUUAGCCAAUUCAAAGUUUAAACUUAUAAUCAACAGAUGCCAAAGUCAUUUAAGCUGCCAACAGUUGAAAUUAGCAGCCAACCUCCAAUUACAACUAUCACUUCUGCAAAAGUAUACAAUCUCAUUUUCAGCAUUACCAUUAAUAUAUAUGUAUAUAGUGAUCAAAUAUAUUGGUUAAUUAUCAAUCGCUUAUGGAUUCUACGAGUAAACCUCUAUAUCCCUUUAUCACUCAUAAAUAAGGCUCAAGAAAUUCAUUGCCCCAACUUUUUCUCAACAAAAUUAAAUAGAAACCAUACACUAUUUAACUAUGAAUAGAACAUUUAUGCACCAAGAUAUGCAGAAAAAUAACAACUUUACCUGCAACAAAAUCUUCCCAAGUGACAUCCUCAUCUGCCACCCGCUACUAAAACUUGCAACCAACCUAUCCGAAUCCUCAGGGGAAAACCCGAGCUCUGGCAUCAACUUACUAACCUUAGCAUCAACCUCAUCCAAAUCCACAGCCUGAGCUCUCCUUUGCAACAAAUCAAACUCAUCCAAAAGCCUUCCCAUCAACUCCAAAUCCUCGGUAGCCCCUCCUAUCGCGUUCUGAACCCUCUCUAACCGAUCAGAAAUCUCCAUUUCCUCUUUAAAAGCACUCAUAAACUCUUCUCUCACUGUCCUACUCAUCGAAACCUCAAAUUCUUGGUUCAAAAACGCAACUUUCAUGUUGGGUUUGGCCUUUAUAACGUUCCCUGAAUCGGCUUCUUCUUGCCCCGUUAUAAUUCUCAACUGGGUCGUUUUCCCUGCUCCGUUUACCCCAACCAAUCCAACUUUCUCCCCUUUUUUCACUUCCCAACUCACAUUUUUCAAAACCGUUACUCCUUUAUAGCUCUUGCUAAUGUUUUCAAGCUUUACACCGGAGGAAACACCAGAAGCACCGGUGUUAGAAUGGCCGUUGCCACGCUUUCGAUCAAUUUCUUCUACUGCGUUAGUUGAAAACAAUGAUUCAAUGUCGUUUUGAGGGUCUUUAACGAACGUUUCAACGCUAAGAGUGGAAACUUGGGCAGUUAUUUUAGUGGGUCUAAACUUAAGGGUUUUACGGGAGGGAAGAGAGGAGGAAUUCGGAGUAAAAGAGGGUCGAAGAGAGAUGAAGAAUGGGGAACGAAGGUCUAAACGGUGGAGUUUGGUGGAGAGGUCCAUGUUUGGGUAGUGGGAAAGUGAAUGAAAGUACGGGAAAAUGAAAGACAAAAAAAAAAAAAACAGAAGAUUUCUGAAGAACGGCAAUGAGAAGUUUCUCAGUGACAGAGAAGAUGAGAAACUCUCAGCCCACAAGUUGAGAAAGGGACUGGCGGCGGAGAUUUGUUGCCCAUCCAAAAGAAUAAAAAAAAUUAAAUCUUUAAUUUUUAAAAAAUAAUAGUAAUAAAUUGAAAUUCUCUAAAAUGACUUAUUUUCAUAAAAAAUUAAAGUUAAAAUUCUCAAUAAAUAAUUGAUUCAAUUAAUAAAAAAAUAUUUUUUAAGUAAAAAUUUUAUAUUUGAGUUAAAUCAAUUAUUGUUUGUUAGAUCAUCUCAUAUAUAUAUAAUCUUUAAAUAUUUAUUUUAAAUUAUUAAAUAUAACACAUUUUAUUUUAAUUAAAAAUAUUAAAUAAUUUGUUUACCCUAAUUUUAUAAAAAAAAUUAAAAGUUAAAUUUUUUUUUUUUUCAAAUUCCUUUCACCAUAAUCAUUUUCCCAAAUUUUCCAUCAGUUGUUUUCAGUAAGGAAACCAAAAAGAAAUAUGUUGUGGCCCAUGACAAGAGACAGAUAAUGCCGGCCCGUUGAUUUGUAAGAAGAGAUUUUGUGGUUGCCAUUGGCCAGCCAAACAAUGGAAAGGAAGAGAAAGUUGCUUGCCAGUUAUUGCCACGUGCAAUCUUAUGUUUGAUUCUGCGCAAUCCGCAUAUCCAAUCAGGAUAAUAUUACAAAUCCUCUUCGAUUUUCAUUGAAGAUUGAAAUGGGAGAUUAUUGUUUUUGAUGGAUGAGAAUUGGACAAGACAAAGUUCACAUGCACUAAAUGGACCGACAAUAAGGAACCCAAAGAUACCAGACUUAAUGGGCCUAAGGCCUAUUCAUUAAGGCCCACCUCAACACUGCACAAAUUUCAAUUUUCACAACAAAGUUUUUUAUGUCGACAGCAUUUGAAUGAACUAAUCAAAAUAAAAUAUAAAAAAUUAUGUAAUAUUCGAUAAAUCAUUAAAUUUUUAAUUUUUGAUAAUUUUAAAUAUUUAAAAAAAUAAAAUAAUUGUAUAUCAAUAAAAAUAUUUUCGAAGUUCAAUUUUUUCUCAAAUUUAAUUUAAAAAAUAAUCAAAUUAUUCAAAUUCAAUUUAAUUAAACUAAAAUUUCAUUAAUUUACUAAGAAUCUCAAAAUUCAAAUCGAAUUCAAGCUUGAUUUAAAAAUAAAAACUCAAAUAAAAUUUUAAAAUAUGUAAGUAAAUGUUAUAUUUUAGUUUUUCCUAUGACAUAUAAAUAUUUUAAAUUUUGAUAAAACUUAUAAGUCACUCACGCUUAUAAAUUGACUCAAUUCGAUUUAUUAUUUAAAUAAUUUGAAUUUAAAUUUGACACAAUAAUAAAUUAAUUAAAUUCAAAUAUUUAUUUGAUCAAAUUCAAAUAACUCAUAAAUAAUUUGAUUCGUUUAUAAUUUUUUAAUUAUGAAGUGAAAUUUAUAAAACUUAUUGUAGCAUAAGAUCUUUUAUACAUUGCAAAAAGUUUUUUUUAGCAACAAGAUAUAAAUUAUUUCAGUGUGCUACAUAUGCUAGCAUUUAACUAUUUACAAAAAAAUGUACACCAAAAUUGCUAUAAAUACUCAAUAGGGUAGAUGCAUAAUAUUAUCCUCAUAUAAUAAAUAAUUAAUUUUUAAGAAAUUCUUUGUUAUUAUUUUUGGUUAUUUUAAUAGGUUUCAAUUGAAAUUAACAUGUCAUUAGGGUUGUAAACCGAUGACAUGAUGAUUUCUUUUUUAGCAAAGCCUUUUGCAUUUCCUGCCAAACAGAUUUAUUUAUUUAUUUAUUUAUUUUAAUAUUGUAAUUAAAAAUAGGAUUGUUAAAAUCAUGCAGUGAGCAUUUUAAAACUGAGAAAGAUUAAGAUUGAUUUUUUUUGCAAAAAUAAAAAAACUAAAUUAUUAUUAUUAUUAUUAUUAUUUUGAGUUACUUUUGAUUUUAAAGAAAAUAUCUUAGCAAUUUAAAAUUUAAAAUAAAAAAAAAUUUUGAUUUGAUAAAAUUCCAAGGUUGAGGUUUAUGUCUUGAUGACUUGGUGAACAAUUGUUAACGGAAUUUGAUUUGAGUAAGCAUUUGAUUGUUUCUUCCGGUGGCUCAUGUUGGAUUCCGUUGAAAGAGUCUUUCUUCGACGGCUGAUUAACGAGUUUAAUUAUCAUUAAAAUAUUUCUCAAUGGAAAGAAAGUUCGUCAUCAUUACUUUUCACUUUCAAGAAUCAAUAACAAAGUGUUAGCUACAGUAUCUUGUCGCUCAGAGUUUAAUACAUUUGAUUUUCAUAAAAAUAUUAUAAUUAAAAAAAUAAAUUUUUAAUAAAAUAAAAUUAAAAAUAUUAUAAUCAUAUUUUAUAUAUAAAUUAUUUAUUAUAAUUCAUAUUAAUACGAAAAUAUAAAAUAUAUAUUUUUAAUUUUUUUAUAAUUUUUAUUAAAUUUUAAAUUAUUUUAUUUUUAUAUCUUUUAUUAAUAUCAUAUUUUAAAUUUUCAAAUUUAAAUGAUCCAAAUCAAACAAAACAAUUUGUUGCUGCUAGCUCAACUCCUCGAACUAACGAAGUACAGAGUGAAUCCACCCAAAGGGCAAAGAGAGGGUCGCAUUUCAUAAGCUGUCUUUGAACUGGACACCAAUUCCAGCCCCUGGCUGGCCUAAUUUUUGUGUUCCUGCUCAUUUGCCACAUUACCAGCAUUUUCAAUCCCCUAAUAUCAAGGAAAUAAAAAUCAAAAUUAAAAAUAACAAUAGAUGCGGCCGAAAGGGGCAGGAAGGAUAUAACCUUAUUUGCCUCCGCCGUGCCCUGCUCAUGUCGGAUGUUGAAAAUUAAUAUCAUUUCGAUUUCAUGCAUGUUAGUUACAUUCGAAACCACUUAGCUUUAUCUCAUUUUUAUCUAUAAUAAGUAAAGUUUGUCGAUAUACUUUUGUGGAUUGCAGAUUGAUUUACUUCUUAAACAUAUGAAAAAAAAAUUACGUAAACUAAUUUUCGAAGGUUCAUGAAAUAAGUAUAUGUGAAUUAAUUUUAGAAAUUCAAAUUAAUAUUGGAGUAAAUAAUUUUAAAUUUUUUAAUAUUUUUAUAAAUCAUAUUAAUUUUUUAAUUAUUUUUAAUAUAUUCCACGCAAGUAUGUCGACAAAGUAUUGGAUUCUUUCACUGUAGAGACAGCUAGCAGUCUAACCAAAUCAAGGACAAAUAAAGAGAUGGAGAACAGAAGCUAAAAUCGACGUAGGAAAAGCGUGUCCGUAAGAGUGGCAUUCCAUGUAAUUUCAACAAAAAGGAAGCCCAUUAUCGAGAACUGAAACUCCAUGUAAGCGAAAGGAAAGAGAGUGAUUGAUUUCAUAAUUCAUUACGUGUGAGGGCUCAGUCAACCACAAUUUCUCGUUUGUCUCGUAAUUUAAGAAAAACCCUUUUAUUUCUCUUUCAUUAUAGCAGUUGACAGUUUAGAAAAUCACCUUCUUUUGUUGGUAUCAACCAUGGAAGAUCGUAAGGAGGUGAGUUCUUAUCUUUUUCUUUUUUUUUUCAAAGUGUUAAAGCUUUGGAGAGUUUAUGUUUUUGUAUAUAAGAACUCUUGGAGAUGAAGUUCAGUGGUUAUAAUAAUCAGUUUGGAGUUUUAUAGAUCGAGAAGUUUUAUCAUUUUCUCCUUUUCUUUGCAACCAAACGAAGUUCAGCCAUGGAUGUGUUUCAGUAGCUUUUUUUCUUUCUUUUUUUUUAUAUGUAUGUGGGGUUACACUUUCUGUUAACCUUUCCAUUCUCAACUCUCAAAAGGUGUUUGGGAGGUAAGAAAACUUUCAAAAGGUGAAGUUCCUUUUUAUUUUUUACAUAUUUUUCUUUUCCUUUGCCUUUAUCUUUCUCAGACAUUGAACAGACAAAGCUGUGCCAUGUCCUUUUUCAUCUGAAUUAAGUUAACCCCUUUUCCUUAAAUGAAAAAACUAUGUUUAUAUCACUAUAUAGAUAUAUUCUUUAAGUUUAUUCCACGGAAAAAUCGAUAAUUGUAGAGUUAAAAAGAAAAAAAAAAAGGACCAGGGGCAUUAUAUAAGUAUUUUAUUUUAUUUUUUGAAGUUUGUGGUUGAUUUUGUAACAGUGGUUCAGAUUUUAGCCUUAAAAAAUUGGAAACAAAGCAUUGAUACUAUUGUUGUGACCAAAUUUGAGAGGGAACAAUUCAUUCU